ACGAAGGGUGCAAGCGUUACUCGGAAUUACUGGGCGUAAAGGGCUCGUAGGCGGCCAACUAAGUCAGACGUGAAAUCCCUCAGCUUAACUGGGGAACUGCGUCUGAUACUGGAUGGCUUGGAUUCGGGAGAGGAAUGCGGAAUUCCAGGUGUAGCGGUGAAAUGCGUAGAUAUCUGGAGGAACACCGGUGGCGAAGGCGGCAUUCUGGACCGAUAUUGACGCUGAGGAGCGAAAGCCAGGGGAGCAAACGGGA
rnacentral:rRNA from 1 species